rnacentral:rRNA from 1 species
UACAGAGGUCUCAAGCGUUGUUCGGAAUCACUGGGCGUAAAGGGUGCGUAGGCCGCACGGUAAGUCAGAGGUGAAAUCCCGGAACUCAACUUCGGAAUUGCCUCCGAUACUGCCGUGCUUGAGGACUGGAGAGGAGUCUGGAAUUCACAGUGGAGCAGUGAAAUGCGUAGAUAUUGUGAGGAACACUAGUGGCGAAGGCGAGACUCUGGACAGUUCCUGACGCUGAGGCACGAAGGCCAGGGGAGCAAACGGG